GACCCCACUUAUAAAUUUUUUUGGAUAUAAUUAAAAAUUUACAUAUGCUUUUGGGAUAGAUUAAAAUUGCCAAGAUCUGAAGAGGGAGAAUUUAUUUGUGCCCUCCUCCUAUAUGAAAUGGCAGAACAGAAAAAA